UACAGAGACUGCAAGCGUUAUUCGGAUUCACUGGGCGUAAAGGGUGCGCAGGCGGUUGGGUGUGUCAGAUGUGAAAUCCCGAGGCUUAACCUCGGAACUGCGUCUGAAACUACUCGACUAGAGUACUGGAGAGGGGAAACGGAAUUCGACGGUGAGCAGUGAAAUGCGUAGAUAUCGAUGAGGAACACCAGAGGCGAAGGCGGUUUCCUGGACAGUUACUGACGCUCAGGCACGAAAGCAUGGGGAGCAAAAGGG
rnacentral:rRNA from 1 species